UGCCAAGACCCAUCUGGUGAUUUGAGCCACGCAAGCAGGGGCACAUUCCAGUGCCUCCUCCUCUAGCACCAGAAACAAGCAGUGGUGCUUCGUCCUCCUCUGUCGCGUUGUUUUGUGAAAGCAAACACAGAGCUGAGUCUCAGUGGUAGAAAGUUCCAUUUGAAGCACAGUUGCAUCUAUGGAUGUGAGUUGAUACUCACAGGAAGAGGAGACAAUGGAGAGCAGACAUGCCUCGCCUUUGAAGCUCCAGUUAAGUUUUUUUUCCUCUGGAAUUGUGCGCUGCGGGGUGGCCAAUAGUUGUGAGGGUUCUGCGCAGGCAAUUUGGUGGUCAUUUCUCUUUUGGGACUAUCAAACGUAUGAGAUCAUUCAUGGGAAUUCUCAAGAGUUGGAGAAUGAGGAAGAGGAGGAGAUCAAAGUAUCUGCACGUAGUUUUUCCUUCCAGAAGUGACUAGUAAAUUCCAGAAUAUUUUUGUCAGUGUCAUAAGCUGUGUACGAAUGUUCACAGAAAUGUCCCAGUACAUUUUUAGAGACUCGUAGUAAUUGUACUCUCUUUGAUGGGUCAUGUGAUUCGCUGAUUGUUUCAGAGCAGAGCAGGCACGAUUUUUAAAAGUUAGGUUUAGGUCACACUUUCGGAAUAUGAUGAACCAUGUGAUGAUAUUUUGUACGAGAGCGUGAUUAGUAACCAUCGCAUAAUAUUUGAAGAGCUAAAGAUGUAUGAGCAGGGAUGGGGAAAUAAACUGUUCUUUUUUCUUUUCUUCUAAGGCUGGUUGGACAUGUGCAUAGAGGAUGUAAUUAACUCUCUUGGGUUCCAAUAGAUACUCCGUCAAGACUUCCUCUAAUAUCAUUCUGUCAAGUUUCUAAACUUACCGGCACUCCGAAUCUGCCUUGCCCUCUUUCUCCCACUCAUCCACUACUUCUCACAUUCUGUUGAAUUCUAUUGCCAUGACUUGUCAUGACAGUUAUAACCCUCAUUUUAGCAUCUACAACAGUGUGAAGAUUUUCUUGAGUGGCUUUCGGGUUAAGCAUGCGUUUUGUUACAAGCGGAACUUCUAUCCUAUGAAGGACCAGACUGCAAGGAGGCUGUAGGUUUUGCACACCCAGUUGACAGUAAUGGAGAAUUUGGGCGGGAAAAUGGUAGCUUUGGGUGAAGAGGUGGAGGAAUUCUUCACCGACAUAAGUCAGAAGGAGACUAAAGCGAAGAUUGACAACAAGAUGGAAUAUUUGGAUAGACUUCAAAUGUUACGGUUAGCCCAGGGAGAAGGCGAACCCUUGCUCAGGAAAGACAAUUCACCAGGAACAGAUUUAUCAGUAGACCAACAGUCGCUCGCAGAAGAGCCCGCUGUUUUUUCUUCGACUACGGAGGGGAAGGAUGAAGCCUUCAAACACGAGGCAGAGAACUUUCAAAUUACGAAGCAGAUAGUGAGAACAGCUCACAUCAGCCAGGAUGAGGGAGAAUUGGAGGAGCAUGUGGCUGCCAUUGAUCAUGAUCGGAAACCGAAAAUCCUGAUAGCAAACGAGCAGGACAUGGGUACAAAAAUUCGAGAGAAGCAGAUGGGUGUGAAUGAAGAAAGUGUAGAGUUCAAACCGGCACUCGUGAAGAAGGCGGUUAGCGAGCUUCAUGGCUUGACAGAGCGGCAGCAAAAAUUUCUCCAGGAUUUUCAUGUCAAGUUUGUGCUGAGGGGGUUAGAGGCGGCGGAGGACGACCAAGCCAGGGCAAGGCAGCAUUCCUCACAUCGUGUCGACUUGAAGAUUCAUGCGGACUAUGGUUUUGGUGAGGCUUCUGACAUCGACAUCACUGUCAAAGGCCAGAUUGACGCCAAACCAAGUUAUGUGACACCGAGAACCUUAGCGACAACGCAGACUUCGGAGCCUGAACGGGCCCCUCAAAUAAGGGUUAUCAUGGAUGAUGUGAUCGACAACCUUGCAGAUGUUACAAUUUGCAAUUUAGAUCCAAGCGCAGGCUGUGAUUCGAAGCCAACCCCAGAUUUUGGAAAUGCCAUGAAAGAUCUGGUUGAUGACGACGAACUAUCGGAGCUUCAAGGGUUCACAGAUCGUGAAGGAAGGGUGGGAGAGUGCCAGUGUUACGGAAAAGCAGGAAAGCAAAUGGAUGAGAAAGACGAAAGUGAUGUGCAAAUUACAAAUGCCUCAUAUUCAGUGCUCAAUGUCGUCUGCCCUGUCAGCGGGGUGCCCGUGGUUGGUCUUAAAGACCCAGUUCGCAGUGAGGGAUGUGAACAUGUCUAUGAUCGAGCGUCCGCUCUCAACUACAUAUCAAGCAUGGAAAAAGAUGGCUUCUGCCCCUGCGCAGUUGUUGUCGUGCUCUACUAGCGGAAAAGAAACUGGUUGCUGACAGUCGCCUUUGGCAAGACAUUGAAGAACUCCGCCAGAUCAAAGCAGCCUUGUGGGAGAGCCACAUGUUGCAGAACUUCGUGAACAUCGAAGACAGUGAUGAGGAUUAAGUUCAAGCACAAUGACAACCUGCUGAUUGGGAUCGACAAUUCCCUGACAUUCCUAACAGCGCAAUUAUAAUUCUGGCAGCAGCCGAAGCACAGAAACUCUCGUGCUUAUAUCGAAAUGAUUAAUGCAUGGGUUUGAAGAGUAGAGCUUUCAUUUCAGGUCCGACCAAUGAAAACACCCCUAUACAGUUAUGGACAGUAGCUUUGGUGAUGCUGUGAGGAAUACAAUGAACUAAAUUUAGAGCAAGUUAGCUUCUGUUCAGCUGGCCUUGAAUCUUAUCAAUCAAUGCAGUGCAGGGAGCUGAAUGUAGUUCCAGUUGCAUUUGGUGUGUGUACAGGGCUCUAAGCAUGGUUGAACAGAAUGCCAGAUGUUGCCAUGUGUAUGUAAUGAAAUGAUCAUCGCUUUUGAAUGGUAUCGAAGUCCUUGCCAUCUUCCAAGAUGCACCGUUCGAUUGAUAAAGUUCCGACAAACAAAUGCGGUAAAUACCAGAUCAAUAUGCAGUUCUUGUUGUACUUUUGCUGCAUUUUCCGCGUUUGAAGGGGUACUGGUUCGAAGGCUCUCCACGUACAUUCUCAGGUUGCGGACGAUAUCAGCUGCAUGACACCACGAGUUGAAUGAAAACAGUGAACUCGUAAAGGUACAAUGCGUGGCACUCUGUCACAUUUCACGUCAACUUUAGUAUUCUUUUCCAACUAAGCCUUGGAGUUUUCAGCCAGCUUGGAGUUGGAACACAUGAUUGUUCCAAAUUCAAACAACUGGGGUCUCCUGAACAACUGACCGAAUCCUUUGUCCAUUUCGUUAUGAAAUUCCAUUCGGAACAUGGCACCUGUGAUUCUCUCAAAGCAGGAACGUGGUCGCUUUGGUUAUAACUUUAAACCUAGGGUUUUCAUAUAUGACGUAGUCAUUGGCCCUUCCAAUCAUCGGUGGAGCGUUGGUUAGGUAGUAAAAAUCAUCAUGUUCUCUUCUGUUCAGUUUUGAUUUCAUGAAGCACACGUUGAUCUCA